rnacentral:rRNA from 1 species
AAAAUUUAAAUUUAUAAUACUAAAAUAGUAAAUAAAUAUUUAUUGAAACUUAAAUAAUUUGGCGGUAUUUUAGUUCAUUUAGAGGAAUCUGUUUAAUAAUUGAUAUUCCACGAAUAAAUUUACUUAAUUUAUAAUUUUGUAUAUCGUUGUUAUAAAAAUAUUUUUUAAUAAAUUUAAUAUUUAAAAAUUUUUAUUUAAAUUUAAAUCAGAUCAAGAUGCAGAUUAUAAUUAAGAAUAUGAUGGAUUACAAUAAAUUUAUUUAAAUGAAUUUUAAUUUGUAAGAAUUAAUUGAAAGUGGAUUUAAAUGUAAUUUUAUUUAGUUUAAUAAAAUGAUUAAAAAUUAAAAUAUGU